CAGCAGCCGCGGUAAUUCGGAGGAUCCAAGCGUUAUCCGGAAUCAUUGGGUUUAAAGGGUCCGUAGGCGGUUUAAUAAGUCAGUGGUGAAAGCCUAUCGCUUAACGAUAGAACGGCCAUUGAUACUGUUAGACUUGAAUUAGUGGGAAGUAACUAGAAUAUGUAGUGUAGCGGUGAAAUGCUUAGAUAUUACAUGGAAUACCAAUUGCGAAGGCAGGUUACUAUCACUAUAUUGACGCUGAUGGACGAAAGCGUGGGGAGCGAACAGGAUUAGAUACCCUGGUAGUCCACGCCGUAAACGAUGGAUACUAGCUGUUCGGAGCAAUCUGAGUGGCUAAGCGAAAGUGAUAAGUAUCCCACCUGGGGAGUACGUUCGCAAGAAUGAAACUCAAAGGAAUUGACGG
rnacentral:rRNA from 1 species